CGCAGCUCAGCAUCUUCGUAGUUUCCAUAAUAAGGAGCCAGUGACGUUAAGGUGAAUGACUCCAGCUUUAUCCCUAGACGGCAGGAUUGCCAGAUCCGUGUAAAGAAAAAAAGUGCCUGGAGGACGCAAAUGAAAAAUUCCGCGGAAAAAAUCAACUCGAUACACGGAAGCGAACGCGGGAGUAUUGGAUAUUGUGUGCUCACAUGCUGAGUAGUUAAAUAAGAAGCACUACUGUUCAGUAGCAAUGCUGACACUCGAAGAUUUGGAAGAUUUUCGGAAGCUUUUGUAUCUAAAUAGUACCAAAGAAUCGCAG